rnacentral:lncRNA from 1 species
UCGGGCAAUCAGGAAAGACCACAGAACUUGCACAUACAUACACUUCAACCAACCUUAAACUUCAUUCAAUAACACAUGCCAGACCAAAUACAUAUGUUUCUAGAUACAUGUAUGAAACGACCAUAUACAAGGAGGUUGUGCCACAAAAGGUUCUGUACAUAUGUUUUUAGAUGUGUCACACAACCAAAAUGAAAAUAAAAUGGCUUAUGUACCAAAACAACCACCAAAUAAGCAUAGUAAAACUUGCCAAUGUCUCUGGGUUCAGCAACCGAGGCAUAUAUCACUUGACCAAAUUAACUGUAGGUCUUCCAAACCUCCAGCAGCUUGCAGAUCUUCCAGAACUCAUCAACUUGUGUACCCUUGGGAAACCUGCAACGGAUAGGAAACUCAAAAUGGGGCUCUUAUUUCAGAUUUUAAAUUGACACAUCAAAGAUUUUGACAUGCUGCAGUUUAACUCAUCAGCAUAAAUAAAAAUCUUCUAAAUGUGUAACACUUCAUCACAGCAAGCAAUCAUUAUUAUAUAAUUAGAAUAAUCAUAUUAAUUGAGAGGACUUCUUCAAUCAGAUCAAGUAUUGUUUACAUACUAGAGGCUACGAUUUGUAUCCGUAAGCUGGCCAUGUGGUAAAGGUAAUGAAAUAGGACCUGGAACCUGGAUAUGAGGUGAUGAGAGAACCCAUGAAAUACAUCUUUAUCUGAACUGAAGUAGAUAAAUAUGACCAUAUCUCAACUAAUUUUGGAAAGCAGGCCAAAUGUCAUAUCUAGCACUAGUAGACAAUAGCUAGUGUAACCAUUGAGAUUUCCUUGAAAUAUCAAAAAAGAAUCUCCCACAAAUUCUGAAGAGCGGCAUGUGGCCCUUUUUAUCGAAAAUGGGGGCCAUGUGGCCCCUUUUAUCGAAAAAAUAACAAAUUAUGUUACCCUAUUUUUGAGAUAUGGAAAACUAAUAGAAAGAAAUACUAUAUUAAAACCGUAUUAAAAACCAUGGAGUUAUUGCCAAUACAGAUUAUUUUGAACCAAUCAGAUAAAGCAUAACUGCAAAAACAAAGAGGAAGUGGUACCUAAAGACAGAGCAUGUAACCACGUGGCAUAUGUGGUUAGCAACUCAAAACUUGAUAAACGAUUUAAAACAGAAUAUGUGGCCUUUGGUCGUAGCUGGCUAGUGGCUACAAAGAACACAAACCAAUGCAUCUUAUAAGCUUGCUUGUGGUAGCAUUGCUACAAACAGAAAUCAAUCAUUAUACAUGAUAUAGUUAUGGAAAGAAAUGCAUCAAUUAUACAUGAUAUGGAAGAAAACGUAUCAUUCUACAUAAUAUGGUUAUUGAAAGAAAUGGAUCGAUUAGUACUCAAAUGUUGACAUCAAAGUAACUGAGCAAAGUAAAAGCAACUAUAUCACUUCUGUUUAUGACUAGAACUGAACCAAUAGACAUCCUAUAGGAAGAGCCUGACACUUAUCUGCUUCCAACUGCAUACACAGAAGCUUUUGCCACUGGGCUACCAUGCUCCCGAUAAACAUUAUACAGUAGCACAUCCCUUCCUUGCUGAGUAAAUCAGACUUCAAGAAACACAAACAAACACCUGAGAAUAAUCACACAAUUUCAACACUAUAUAACAUAAUUUCUACAUCCGAAACAGCUGAGCGUAAGAAAAUUGUAACACUAUAUUAGUGCCCAUUACAAGAUUACUAAUGGCUGAAUGAUAAAAAUAGCAAAGAAAUCUCACCGUUGGUUGAGAAGUACAGGAGGCGGUGAAGCCGAUACCGUAGGUGUCACUGCUCAGGCGGGGAAGUAGAGGUGAGGCGACACUGCUUGGGGGCGGGGAUGGAGAUGAGGUGCUAUCCAGACGUAGUCUACACAGCACUGCUUGGUGCAGAGGACGAAUAGGAGGCAUGCUGCGAGAAAGAGAGGAGUACCAAUUACACAACAUAACAUACAAAUCGAAGGACCAAAUCAAGGGUGCAGACUGAAAUAAUGUACUGUACAUAAUAGAGUUAACACUGAGUUCUAGCUCCAAGUCAAAUAUCUUUCAGGUGCAAAUAGGCAAACAUGCUCAGUUCAAAAACAAUGCAUUGAGUUAAACAUUUGUACAGAGUCUCUAGGAAUGACAUAGAAGAUUUCUUGCACAUGCUCAUGCUCAUUUUGUACAUGCUCAUUUUGUAAACUGCAUUACUGUACUUUACAGAGUUGAGGGCAUGCAAAUUAUUGGACAGAGUCUCAUUCCAUUUUGUACAGACUCCAGUUUUUGUACAACAUCUCCAGAAUUUUUGCACAUGCUCAUUUAGUAAACUUCAGUACUGUAGAGAGCUGAGGGCAUGAAAAUUCUUGGAAACAUAAAAACAAAGAUACAAAAUAUGUUUAUGUCGUCCACCACUCUACCUCAACGACCCAGCUGGCGUGAAAGAAUAAGAAACUAUAUUAGUAACCACAACCGACAGCAUUCUUUUCUAAUUGAUUUGCUUUUGUGGUGAGAGUGUGAAGCAUGAUUGCAAAUAUUAAAAAGCAUCAUCUCUGGAGAACAUAGCGCAGUAGACUAAACAAGUGGGCUGAUGACGUAAAAUAAUUAGCUUUCUUUCAUCUCACAACUGAACUACAAAGCUCAACUAAACAACUUAGUUCGGUGUCAACGAAUCUAGUUAAGGUAUGCACUUGUUAAUCACCAGACUUCCCUGUCCUUCGAUCUGAAGGGCUACUAAUAGUACUUAGUUUUCAUCUAUGUUUAUUUUCAAGUUCUGUUUUCAAACAAUGCAAAUAACCUUUGAAGGUGUUUGGAUCGUGGUUUUGUUGUCAUUGUCAGAUCAAAUUAAUUAAAAAGGAUGAUUUGUUCUAACUGCUAGAAUAGUUAAGUGCUACUGUUCGAGAUUUUUUUUUGAGGGAUGCUACUGUUCGAGAUUACAUACAUGUGUAGCUGCACAUUCAGAUGUUAAAAAGAGACAGGAGUUGAAAUCUCACCUAUGAAGAGGAUUAGAGGACUCUGGUGAAAGGAAGUAUAGGACGCAGCUGCCUAGGGAAAGGAUGUUGAGGAGACAGAGCCGCUCGCUGGAGGGAGGACGCCCCGCUGCUGGGGGAGACGACGUAGAGGAAGCUGCCCCGCUCGAUACUGGGGAGAAGGCUCGCUCGGUGUGGACCAAGCUCGUGGUGGAGGAGGGUGGUCGCCGGUGGAGUGGUUCCGCGACGUGGCUGGCCGGCGCCGGUGGCGUCGUCCGUGUCCUCGGCGGCGCUGUGAUGUGGGGUCGGCGGCGGCGGCAGUCUGCAGCGGUGGGGUGUGGAGGGCGGAGUCUGCAGCAGUGGCGGGCAGUGGUUGGGGCCGACAGGGGCGGCGGGGGCGGCGGUGGUGUGGUGGAGGGCGCGGUCGGCGGUGGUGGGGGUGUGGCUAGGGUUGGCGGCGGAUGUGGUCUGGAUCGAUUUGGGGAUAAAGUGGAUUGAAGUCCGUGGGUGGGGGCACGGGGCUG